rnacentral:ncRNA from 2 species
GCGGAAGCCUAGGGGUGGCCUGAACGGCCUGAGAUCAGACCCUCGGAACCUGAUCCGGUUCGAACCGGCGUAGGGAAGGCAGGAAUCUCAACC